UUGGGGCGGAAGUUGUCGCCUUCAGACAUGGCGCUGUCCUGUUCGAGGCUCACUCCUAAUUUGUCUUCGAUUCGACUGUGGAGUGUCAGAACAAACCAAAUUGCGAAUGGACUGCACUCGCCGUGUGUGUGUCACCGGUCCAGAUAUUUCUCGUCGUCCAAAGUUCGACGAGGUCUCGGUCGCUAUGUGACGUCCAGGCUGCAGUGGGCCAACACCAAAUACGAAGGCUUCCUCAAAAGGCGAUUUCCACGCUUCUAUCUGCUCUACCAUACAUUUAGGGAAGGAUUCAAGCUUCUUUUCCGAGAUGCCAAAGACGUCGGCAAGAUCAAAACAAAGAUGUCAAGUGAUGGAAUCAAGUUCCAAGAUUUGUCCUACAGGGAAAUGGAGAAACUCAGACAGUUUCGCCGAGACAUGAUAAAAGGCAUCCCAUUGGUGUUAAUAUCUAUUCCUCCCUUUGCCAACUACCUGGUUUUCUUAUUAAUGUACUUGUUCCCCCGCCAGUUGCUGAUCCCUCAUUUCUGGACUCCAAAGCAGCAGGUAGCGUUUCGUCAGUUGUAUCAUUCGCUCAGGGCUCGACACCAUUGGCCCGUCCUGCGAGGGGUCCAGCAUGUGAGUGGCCAGGUGGAAGAUUCUCAGCUACGGAGUCGCCUUCAGAGCCUGUGCUCUCAGGUGCAAAAUGGAGCAAACCCCAAAGUGUUGGAAAUCCUUGCAGUGCGGAGCCUGUUUUGCGGGACUCCUCUGGGUUUGAGCAAGCUUACUGUGGAUCAAAGGAGAGACAUAAGCCAUCUGCUCUUCUUGACACCCCACCUACCCGGCUUCCUGAUUGGCCGCCGGCUAACCAAUCACGCCUUGGAGCUGCUCCAUCUGGACCGAGCCCUCAGCAAGCUGGGUCCGCACCGGCUCAGCGACUCAGAAGUGAGACAGGCUUGCUACUUGAGAGGCCUCAACUCAGAUCGUCUCAGUGUCAACCAGUGUCGGGAGUGGUUGCACCAAUGGCUUCAGCUGUCCUCCUCACUGAAAGGGCAUGAAUGGAUUGAUUGAACUGUAACAGACGCUAGUAGGUGACAAGUGAACCGUGAACAUGCAGGGGGCUAACUAUUUCCAGAAUGGCUCCCAACGUUUCCUUAUGUUCCUCUCCGCCAACUACCCGAAUAGCAUCAGCCGCCCAUAAGAACCCUGGAGGACUUCUUACAGAGAAUUGUCAGCAUCUGUUCGUUUUCUGAUGGGAAAACUAUUUCAAAAUGGGUUUUUAUUGGCAUUUUCAGAUUUAAAAAAAAAAAAAAAGUCUACAAUUGCGGAGUUCGCUUAAAAGCUUACACAGUGUGCAGUAUCUGUCAGUGUUUAAUAGGCGUUUACUUUGACUCUGCGGAGUGUAGUUUACACAUUUCACAGACUGAAACUCACUGUCAGUCACUCACUAUCACUGGUUUCGGUACAUUAAUUUCUUUAAAUUUUGGGAAAUUAUCAUUGGUUUAAUGGCAAAGCUGGAUAUUAUUUGUUCAGACAUUCCAUUUGCCAGCAUGUGCUCAAACACCCGCUGUGUUUUCUUCCCGUGUUUUACCUCAGUGUGUGCACUCCUAUUUAUUUUCAAACAUUUGUACUUAAUGUAAGGGAACAAUAGCAAAAGAGCUAUUAAAGCCCAAGCAGACUGGGAAAAAAAGAUUACGGUUUGUGAUUACUUGCAUGGUUGUGGUAAAAUGCAACUUUUUGAAAGUAUUGUUUGGCCUGCAGUGAAACCAACUGAUAAGUGAUGGCAUUUGACAAGUUUACUUAACGUUUAAAAAAAUUAAUAACUUAAUUACUCUGUGCCUUUUGCAAGGACUGAUGGAAUAGGUUUCGUAUUUCAAAUGGGCUGUAGGCAUAUUUUUGUUGUGCAUUUACUCAUGUUCAGUGAUGUGUUGAUGUGCCAUAUUGAAAUGAAUGUCCAAAAAAUAAAUACAUUUACUCUGAAAACCAAUUCAGAUGUAAAGGUUCUUUAAUAAAAACAACCUGGGAACCAAACAAGCUUUAAAAACAAAAAUCCACAAAUUCUUAAUGUAACAAGCAAAGAUAUUCAAUUUCCUCAACCAUCAAGAAAAACAUUAGCGACGAGAGUAGAGAGUGUUGUGUAGAAGAAAUGGAUGUUGCAUGCCUAUCAAACCACAAAAACUCCUGACCUAGGAAAAGAUGGACUAAAAGGAGGGAGAUAAUGUUCUGUGCACUAUA